GGGUUGUGAGGUUAAGCGACUAAGCGUACACGGUGGAUGCCCUGGCAGUCAGAGGCGAUGAAGGACGUGCUAAUCUGCGAUAAGCGUCGGUGAGGUGAUAUGAACCGUUAUAACCGGCGAUUUCCGAAUGGGGAAACCCAGUGUGUUUCGACACACUAUCAUUAACUGAAUCCAUAGGUUAAUGAGGCGAACCGGGGGAACUGAAACAUCUAAGUACCCCGAGGAAAAGAAAUCAACCGAGAUUCCCCCAGUAGCGGCGAGCGAACGGGGAGGAGCCCAGAGCCUGAAUCAGUGUGUGUGUUAGUGGAAGCGUCUGGAAAGGCGCGCGAUACAGGGUGACAGCCCCGUACACAAAAAUGCACAUAUUGUGAGCUCGAUGAGUAGGGCGGGACACGUGGUAUCCUGUCUGAAUAUGGGGGGACCAUCCUCCAAGGCUAAAUACUCCUGACUGACCGAUAGUGAACCAGUACCGUGAGGGAAAGGCGAAAAGAACCCCGGCGAGGGGAGUGAAAAAGAACCUGAAACCGUGUACGUACAAGCAGUGGGAGCCUCUUAAUGGGGUGACUGCGUACCUUUUGUAUAAUGGGUCAGCGACUUAUAUUCUGUAGCAAGGUUAACCGAAUAGGGGAGCCGAAGGGAAACCGAGUCUUAACUGGGCGUUAAGUUGCAGGGUAUAGACCCGAAACCCGGUGAUCUAGCCAUGGGCAGGUUGAAGGUUGGGUAACACUAACUGGAGGACCGAACCGACUAAUGUUGAAAAAUUAGCGGAUGACUUGUGGCUGGGGGUGAAAGGCCAAUCAAACCGGGAGAUAGCUGGUUCUCCCCGAAAGCUAUUUAGGUAGCGCCUCGUGAAUUCAUCUCCGGGGGUAGAGCACUGUUUCGGCAAGGGGGUCAUCCCGACUUACCAACCCGAUGCAAACUGCGAAUAC
rnacentral:rRNA from 1 species